UGCCUAGAUCCCUGCGCAGGAAGACU
rnacentral:piRNA from 1 species